CGAAUGGUUCAUCGCGAUCCAUUCCGAUUCAACCGUUCAGUGCCUAAUCUGGUCCAGAAUGAAACACAUCACUGUCUUAUUGUUUGCUGCCUGCGUGCUUCUGCUGAUAACGUACACUGACGGUCUGUUUACCGGAUCUUGGGAGGACUUUCAUACCGAGAGCUCAUCAAGCGAGGAAAGUGUUAAUUCUCCGAAUGAAGAGGUUAUUGCUAAGCAAGCAAGCUAUUCAUAUAUGACUAUAACAAUGCCUAAAAAGUGCCCCAAAGGAAGUGCAUAUUCGCAAAUAUUGAAAGAAUGUAAACCAAUAGUACAAACAUUCUUCAUUAGGGCGCCACGCAUCUAAAUGCAAUAAAUAUCACAUGGAACCAUA